rnacentral:rRNA from 1 species
CCAAAAGGGAUUGCUUAGUAGCGGCGAGUGAAGCGGCAAUAGCUCAAAUUUGAAAUCUGGCACUUUCAGUGUCCGAGUUGUAAUUUGAAGAAGGUAUCUUUGGGUCUAGCUCUUGUCUAUGUUUCUUGGAACAGAACGUCACAGAGGGUGAGAAUCCCGUGCGAUGAGAUGUCUAGAUCUAUGUAAAGUUCCUUCGAAGAGUCGAGUUGUUUGGGAAUGCAGCUCUAAGUGGGUGGUAAAUUCCAUCUAAAGCUAAAUAUUGGCGAGAGACCGAUAGCGAACAAGUACAGUGAUGGAAAGAUGAAAAGAACUUUGAAAAGAGAGUGAAAAAGUACGUGAAAUUGUUGAAAGGGAAGGGCUUGAGAUCAGACUUGGUAUUUUGUAUGUUACUCUCUCGGGGGUGGCCUCUACAGUUUACCGGGCCAGCAUCAGUUUGAGCGGUAGGAGAAUUGCGUAGGAAUGUGGCUCGGCCUCGGUCGAGUGUUAUAGCCUUCGUCGAUACUGCCAGCUUAGACUGAGGACUGCGGCUUCGGCCUAGGAUGUUGGCAUAAUGAUCUUAAGUCGCCCGUCUUGAACCACGGGAGCACCUGGUUGUGCAUAGCA